CUUCUGCAGCUUUCCUCAAUCCUCAUGGCACAUCUAGUUAAGUCCUUCUCUCAAGGCUUUUAUACAGUAGUCCCAAAGCAGUCUUAAUCUUCUCUGAGGUCUCUGGCUAGUCAGAUUAUCCUCGUUGGUUAUUUUAAUUAUGAAACCUAUUGUCGUAACGUAUACCUUCCUCAAAUCAGCUUCCUUAUCCUAAUUUCCAUUUAAAUGUCCAGUCUCUGGAACAGCUUUUCAAAUUCAUGGUUGUACCGUUCUCACAAUUCUCCUGUAUAGGUUUCGAUGCAG